AGCAGGGUGGGGAUCAGAGCAUGGAAAAUUACUAAGAGGAAACAUCAGGGGUGUUGGGGGAAAUCUUCAAGAGGAUGUGACUGCUGGUUGACCCCUGAGCUGGACCUGGGCAACUGGAGGAUCCCCAGCCCCCACCUUGGAAUGUGCAUUCCACUUGCCUUCCCCACUCCCUGAAGCUGCCCUGAGGACACAGCCUGAGAGAGCACUGUGGCGGUGAGACCAUCUGGAUGGUAUACGUCACUGAGCCCAGUUAAGGCCUCUAUACAAACUGUAAGAUUUUGACGGGUGGGUGUGGAAAACUGCUCGUCUCGCGGCCGCCCAAGACAAGCCUCAUAAACAGGCAAUGGAGACUUCUCUUUAAAUUCACCGAAACGUAGCAGCGGUUCCCAGAUCUGGGAAGCAGCAGCAUGCUGGACGCCGGGACCAGGAGCAAGCCAGCACCGCUCCCUUCCGAGAACCUAGAACCACGAGUGAGAGCGCGAGGCUGCGCGAAGAGGAGUUUAGAAAAGCGAGCAGCUGCGGGCCGAGGAGGAGCCACAGAGACCUGGGGACUUGGAUGGCCCCAGACUGACUAGAGACCAGGGGUCCCUGCUUGCAUGUCAAAGACUGACCCCAUCCUCUACCUGGGGCUGUAUAAGCCUUUGGGUUUGGGGACAAUUAAGGAGUGAAGGAGCCCCAUGGAGGAGAUACUGAGCUUCCUGCUCAUCAGGCAAAUGGGGAAUUAAGCCAGUUUUCUUUAUGGGAGAAAAUGUAAAAAGACAGGAUCACCUUGCACCCUCUCUUUGUGGGUCAGUUCAUCCUACUGACUCAGGUAUCACCCGGACUCUGAGAUAUCUUUGCACUGGGGUAACAUCUCCCACCUUAGCAGCAACUUCUAGAACCUGUGCUCCAACCAACCUGGGCUGCCUCCUUUCUCCAACUGCCCCUUGGCCUUCUGCCUCUGGGGCUUUGCUCUUACUGCCCCCUGGCCUCCAGUGCCUUCCCUUCCCACCCGUAAUCAUUAAAAUCCUACUCAUUCUUUACGACCUAAUUCCAGUGUGACUUGCGACAUGAUGCCUCUCUGAUCACUUCACCCAGAAGCCAUCUUCCUUUCCUUUUACUUUUGCAGGAUUUUCUUUUGGCAUUUGCAUGCCUCUUUUUCACAUCACACCUAAUAGUGUAUUGUAGUUAUUUGUCAAUUUGUCUUUUUAUAGCUAAUAGAUUGUAAACUGCAUAUCUUUAUGUCUCCCAUAGUGCCGUAUACAUAGAAAGUACCCCUUAAAUAAAAAAAUAAAAUAAAAUUGCUACCAAGGUGUGGUAGACAUUGGGAAUGUCUUUCCAAUACCUCUUAUCCUCCUCCCCAUUGUGUAGUCACCAUUGGUGUGAGUGGCAUUGGCCUCACUCAAUUCUAGGGGUGGUCCCCAAUGGUGUAAGACACUCCCAACCCACUUGCCAAAGUGAUAGGUUUUUUUGAGCCUGAGCCAAUCGGCACAUGGUCCUGGGGGUCCAAUCAGAAUGAGGCUCAGGACUUAAGCACAAUGAUUAUGGGAAGCGACAGCCCCUCUCCCCCCCAGACUAAUUGUCAAGAAAUUCCAACUGAGUUGUUCAGUUCCAACUGAGCUGCUGUUCACAGGCAUCUUGCAACCAUGAAGAAAGCCAGCCUAGAAAGGAAUCUGGCCCACAAAGGAGGACAGGGCAGAGAGAAUCAGAGAAACAGAGCUGGGGCCCUGGUUAAACCAUACUGGAAGCCUGCUCUAACAUUCAGCCUUUCAGCCAUGUGAACCAAUAAAUGCUCUUCAUGGUUUCUCUCUUGCAACCCAAAGUAUCCGACCCAGUGCACCGGGAACGCAUCAUUGUGGAUUCACACGUGCACAUGUGCAUUUGCAUGUACGCACACACACAACCUGAAUCUUACUAGGGAGAAGGGAGAAAACACACAUCUCCAAUUCCUGGGGUGGUGGCAACAUCUCAUUUUACCAAACUGCACACUUUAAAGCUUUUCAUAACAGUUACCAAGACAUGGAACUGAUGUCUUUUGAUAAUUUCUCAUUGAUUUCUGUAUUAAAAAUGAUUUUGUAGUUUUAACCUGAAUUCUUAAGAAUAUCUGACUCUAGCAACUAGUAAUAAAUUGUGAAAUUUUUUCCUUUAAAAAAAUUAAUAUAUUGUUUGUGGCCCCUUUAAUAGUACUUAAAGUAAUAAAAUCAGCUUUUACCUUAACGUGAAGUUUUUCAACAUUUUCCUUGCAAGGUGAAAUGGGGUUCUAACAACUGGAAGGCGAUAUUGACCUUUUCUUGACUGGUUCCCUGCCUUAACCUUGUUGACAAGUUUGUUUUCAGAUUUUCCAACCUGCUGUUCACUUGCUUUCUUGGCAAGCAUC
rnacentral:lncRNA from 1 species